rnacentral:rRNA from 1 species
AUAGAUUUGAAAAGUGUUAUAUUGCAUCAAAGGGUUAUUCAUAGAAUAUAAUGUUAUUAAUAAUAAAGGUUACUAAUAAUUAAUAAAAAUUAAUUUAAAACCUAAGGGAAACCAUAAUAAAUAUACAUGAUGAACUGAAUCAUCUAAGUAAUCAUAGGAAAAGAAAUCAAACGAGAUAUUGUGAGUAACGGCGAGUGAAAUCAAUAAAGCUUUUUAAUAAGUACUAUUUAAAAAAGUAGGAAAAAAGAUUAAAACUAAAUCUAAAGCUAAAUAUUAUUAAUAAACAUAAAAAGUACUGAAAAGGAAAAUAUAUAAAUGGAUAAUUCAUAAGCAUCAUGAGAUUUUAAAAGAAUUUAGUGAGUACCUUUUGCAUAAUGGGCCAGCAAGUAAUUAUAUACAGCAAAGUAAUAAAAAAUCAUUAAGAUAAAUUACUAAAUAUAAAUAGAAUAUAUAAUAAAAUAAAAUUUAUUUAUUUAGAAAAAUGUGAGAAGUUGUAUAUAAUUGGCCCGAAAAUAAAAGAUCUUAUUAUUUCAAGGUAUAUAAUUCAUAAUGAAUUUAUUGACCGGAUGAGUGUAUGUUGCAGUAUACUUCAAUUAGAGAUGAUAAGUAAGUGAAAGACUAACCUGUUUUAUAGAUAGCUGGUUCUCUGUGAAAUAUAUGUUAGUAUAGCGAUUAACAAAAAAUAAUUAUAUGGUAUAGCAAUUAAUAUUUAACUUAUCAUUUAUAUUUUUUUUUAUAUAAAUGAUAAAUGGGGGUCAAUUAUUGACUUAUCAUGUAUAUUUAACCUCAUAAUAAUAUAAUUAUAGUUAAUUAGUCAGACUGUAUGCGAUAAGGUAUAUAGUCAAGAGGGAAACAGCCCCAAGUAAAAUUUAAGGCUCCAAAAUAUAAUGAAAAAUUAUGAAAAAUAAUUAAGUAAUUAAAGAUUAAGUGAAUAUAAUAUAUAAAAUAUCUAAAUCAAUUAGUUGGUGGGUUUGACAAUAACCAUCCUAUAAUGAACAUGUAACAAUGCACUAAUUUUAAACAUAAGGAAAUUUUAUAUAGCUAAUAUACGGAUCUUCAUUAGUAAUAAAAUAUUACUAAAAAAAUCUAUUGCCGAAAAUUUAUAUAUUAAUAUAUAAAAAAUAAAUGUAUUAAUAUGGUAACAGAGCAUAUAAUAAAUAAUAUAUAAUAGUUGGAUAAAUUAUUAUAUAAAAAUAAAUCAUAAUAUGAUUUUAUUUAUAUUAAAUAAAAAAUAUUUAUUUAAUAAUAUUAAUUAUAUAGAGAAUGCUGGCAUGAGUAACGAAAAAUAAGUAAAAUUUAUAUUUUUAAAUUUAUAAAACUUAUUCAUUUAAUACAUAAGGUUUUACUAUAAAUUCGGUCCUUAAGCUAGUAUAUAGAUAAAAUAUAUGCGAUAGGUUUAAUAUAUAUUGAAGAUUAUCAUUAAUAAAUAUAUAAAAUAUAUAUAUUUGUAUUAUUAAUGGGCAAGAAAUAAUCAAUAUUAAAACCGUAAUUAAGACCGACACAGGUGUGUAUAGUAGAGAAUAUGAAAAUGAAUGGGAGAGGGCUUUGAUAAGGAACUCGGCAAAAAUCACCCCUACGUUAGUCAAUAAAGGGAAUAUAUUUUUUUUAUAAAAAAAAAUAUAAUUAAAAAUAGAAUUAUACAACUGUUUACUAAAAACACAGCACGGUGCAGAUAUAAAAAUAUUAGUAUACCGUGUGAAUCCUGCCCCAUGAUUAAGGGAUAAAAUAUUAGCUAUUAAGGUUGAUAUCGAAUCCUUAGUCAAAUGGCAGCCUUAUUCUGAGGGUUAUAAUGUAGCAAAAUGCCUUGGCUACUAAUUAUAGUCUCGCAUGAAUGGAGUAAUGAUAUAAUAACUGUCUCGUCAAUCCCCCCAGUGAAAUUGGAUUAGCAGUGAAGAUACUGUUAAAAUACAGGUAGACGGAAAGACCCUAUGCAGCUUUACUACAUAUAGAUAGACUGUUAUAUAUUUAUAAUUAUUCAGUUUAUAAAGUAAUAUAUGAAUUAAGUAAUAACUUUAAAGUAGGUAUUCAAUUGAGAAACUUUUUGUUUAUAGAUAUAUAACUUAUCUUUAUCUAAUAUAAUGCUAAAUAGCUAUAUUAAUAAAUUAAAGAGAAAGUCUCUGUUAGGUAGUUUUGAUGGGGCGUCAUUCUCAUAUAAAUAAACUGAGUAAGUCCUUUAUAUGAAUAAUAAAUAUUAAAAAUAUUUCUAAUAAGAAUUAAUCUUAUUGAUUAUAUAUAUACAAAUAAUAUAAAUAUAAAUAUAUUUGAAUAAAUAAUAGAAAAAAGAAAGUAUAGUAAAAUUGUCAUGAAAACAAUAAAUUAAAAUUAAUUUAAAAAAUAUAAUAGUAUAACUAUGCAUAAAUUACAAUCAUCAACAAAUGGAGUAAAUACGUAAGUAUGGUAUAAUGAACAUUUGCUAUAAAUAGUUUUAGGCAAAGAUAACGGAUAAAAGUUACGCUAGGGAUAACAGGGUAAUACAGCGAAAUAGUACAUAUAGUAAGCUGUGUUUGCCACCUCGAUGUCGACUGGCCCUAACCUACUGGUUGCAGCAGCUAGUAAGGGUUUGACUGUUCGUCAAGUAAAAGGGUACCUGAGUUGGGUUAAAUACGUCGUGAGACAGUAUGGUUCCUAUCUUCUGUAUUAAGUAGUAUAAAUAUAAGUCUGUUAAUUAGUACGAAAGGAUCAUUAACAAUUAAUCAAUGGUGAAUUAUUAAAGUUAUUAUAUUUUUUUAUUAUUAAAAAUAUAUUAAAUAUUAAUACAUAUCUAUAGUUUUUUAUGUAAUAAUUUUAAGUAGUUUAGCUAAAUUAAUAAAUUAUAAGUAUUGAAAGCAUAUAAAAUACGAAUUUGUCUUAUGGAUAUACAUAAUGAGUAAUUAUAUACUAUGAUUUUAAAAAUAGUUAUUGGCUAUAAUAGUCUAAUUAACUAAUUAACUCAAUUUGCAAUAUAACUUCUAAUCU